AGAACGAACGCUGGCGGCGUGCCUAACACAUGCAAGUCGAGCGAGAAAGGGACUUCGGUCCUGAGUAAAGCGGCGCACGGGUGCGUAACACGUGGGUAAUCUUCCUCCGGGUUGGGAAUAACUCUUCGAAAGGAGAGCUAAUACCGAAUAAGCCCACGAUCUCCUUGGAGAUUGAGGGAAAAGGUGGCCUCUGCAUGCAAGCUAUCACCUGGAGAUGAGCCCGCGGCCCAUCAUGCUAGUUGGCGGGGUAACGGCCCACCAAGGCGACGACGGGUAGCUGGUCUGAGAGGAUGAUCAGCCACACUGGGAUUGAGAACGGCCCAGACUCCUACGGGGGGCAGCAGUGAGGAAUUUUCGGCAAUGGGGGCAACCCUGACCGAGCAACGCCGCGUGCAGGAUGACAGUCUUCGGAUUGUAAACUGCUUUUCUCGGGGACGAGUAAGGACGGUACCCGAGGAAGAAGCCCGGCUAACUCGUGCCAGCAGCCGC
rnacentral:rRNA from 1 species